rnacentral:rRNA from 1 species
GACAGAGGUGCCAAGCGUUAGGCGGAAUCACUGGGCUUAAAGCGUGUGUAGGCGGAUGCCUAAGUACCUUGUGAAAUCCCACGGCUCAACCGUGGAACUGCUGGGUAUACUGGGUGUCUUGGGCCAACUAGGGGUCGCUGGAACAAAUGGUGGAGCGGUGAAAUGCGUAGAUAUCGGUAGGAACACCAGUGGCGAAGGCGGUCUCCUGGAGCAGACUUGACGCUGAGGCGCGAAAGCUGGGGGAGCAAACAGG